GUGUUUAUUUUAGCAGCACUAAAAUUGAAAUGAUACAGAGAAGGCUAGCAUGGCCUCUGUAGAAGGAUGCUGUGCAGAUCUGUGAAGUGUUCCAUAUUAAU
rnacentral:snRNA from 1 species